rnacentral:lncRNA from 1 species
AAAGAAGAAAGAAAAAACGAAUCAUGUUGAGGUCGUCUAGUCACAGAAUUAAUCUUUUGAAAAAUAAAGCAAUCAAAAUUUGAAAUGAUGUGUGGCCUUCUUUCUUUAUCCAAAAAGCAAAAAAUUAUAUCCAUUGUCACCCCGUUUGAGCCUAAAAUAAAUUCUUUUUCAAAAUUAUCCCCAAGCAAAGGUUAUCAUCAGGUAGGAGUCA